AGCAGGACCAAGUUGAGUGGGCCAUUUCCCGGUCUGUACUCGAGGCCACAGGUUUUUGAGCUUGCCACCUAAAUGAGGGCCUGCC
rnacentral:pre_miRNA from 1 species